rnacentral:rRNA from 1 species
AGCGAACGCUGGCGGUAGGCCUAACACAUGCCAGUCGAACGGCAGCACAGUAAGAGCUUGCUCUUACGGGUGGCGAGUGGCGGACGGGUGAGGAAUACAUCGGAAUCUACUUUUUCGUGGGGGAUAACGUAGGGAAACUUACGCUAAUACCGCAUACGACCUACGGGUGAAAGCAGGGGAUCUUCGGACCUUGCGCGAUUGAAUGAGCCGAUGUCGGAUUAGCUAGUUGGCGGGGUAAAGGCCCACCAAGGCGACGAUCCGUAGCUGGUCUGAGAGGAUGAUCAGCCACACUGGAACUGAGACACGGUCCAGACUCCUACGGGAGGCAGCAGUGGGGAAUAUUGGACAAUGGGCGCAAGCCUGAUCCAGCCAUACCGCGUGGGUGAAGAAGGCCUUCGGGUUGUAAAGCCCUUUUGUUGGGAAAGAAAAGCAGCAGGUUAAUACCCCGCUGUUCUGACGGUACCCAAAGAAUAAGCACCGGCUAACUUCGCG